rnacentral:rRNA from 1 species
UUAAAUUGAAGAGUUUGAUCAUGGCUCAGAUUGAACGCUGGCGGCAGGCCUAACACAUGCAAGUCGAACGGUAACAGGGAUCAGCUUGCUGAUUCGCUGACGAGUGGCGGACGGGUGAGUAAUGUCUGGGAAACUGCCUGAUGGAGGGGGAUAACUACUGGAAACGGUAGCUAAUACCGCAUAACGUCGCAAGACCAAAGAGGGGGACCUUCGGGCCUCUUGCCAUCGGAUGUGCCCAGAUGGGAUUAGCUAGUAGGUGGGGUAACGGCUCACCUAGGCGACGAUCCCUAGCUGGUCUGAGAGGAUGACCAGCCACACUGGAACUGAGACACGGUCCAGAC